CGUGUAGGCGGUCCGGUAAGUCCGCUGUGAAAGUCGGGGGCUUAACCCUCGGAUGCCGGUGGAUACUGUCGGGCUUGAGUACGGAAGAGGCGAGUGGAAUUCCUGGUGUAGCGGUGAAAUGCGCAGAUAUCAGGAGGAACACCAAUUGCGAAGGCAGCUCGCUGGGACGUUACUGACGCUGAGACGCGAAAGCGUGGGAGCAAACA
rnacentral:rRNA from 1 species